CUGACUGCAUCGACGAGCCACACUAUCGUGAUUCCAUGGGCGAUUCCGUGAAGCAAAAUUUUCUGGUCGACUGAACGUUUUUUCUUCUUUUUUUUUCGUUCCCUGCGUUUUGGAGCAAGAUUCAUGCUUUCUCGACUUUUCUUUCAGCUACUCAGGCCCGAUGAGCGAGAAACUGUUCAAUCGAACCUGCCCAGUCCCCGGAACGGUGCCCCGCAAGCCCGAAAAGCAGAAAAAGCCUGAAUUUUGGACUUUCGAUCGAGCGUCACGGUGCAAGUGCGCGCCAUGACUCCGUGGCCGUGAUAUCCAUCCGCGAGGAGAGAAACGACGUUAAAACUCGGUCGGAAGGCCUGCUACGAGGCCAGGAUUAUGCGCGAUGUCGAUGAAUGCAUGCGCCUUUGAUUCUCCAAUGAAAAUUCAUGGGCGUUGGCUCUCAAAGGUCUUCUUCUACGCCGCGUCGAGAAUCUACUCUUCGAGAUUCUUACACAAUAUUGAUACGCACGUUGGACGGGUGCGCGAGAAGGUCCUUAUGCAGGCGAUGUGACGGCCGGGCCACCGGAGUCGAUCGCACGCGCUUGCAGAAAAAGACGCCGCGCGCUCGGACCGUACAUCGAGUUGCGAUAGGCAUCUAGGCGCCGCCGCGUUGCCGCGGCGCCCGUGCAAUCGAUUUUAUUUGUUGGAUCUGACCAGCCGAUUACCUCAGCACGGGAAUAUUUGCGAGCCGAUCGUGACGAAUAAAUCGUCAUUGAGAGGACGACAGUGGAAAUGGUCACUCUGCUGCAAUGCUGCGAUGCAAAAAGGUUUUCCACUGAAAUGAAGCCGGACUUUGGUGACGAGGAGUUUGGAUCGGAGGCUGCGCUGCUGGGAUCCUAGCGAUGAAUUUUCAAACACAUUUCCUUCGAUCGGCGUGUACGAAUAGCGAAAUACAAUACUGGAAGCUUGCUACAGGAUUUAAUGAAAUGGCGGAGGGUACGAAUACGAAGGUGGCAAAGGUCCCGCACCUGGUCUUAAUAGGCCACACGCACGAGAAUGAAAUAGAAAGGAUGGAGAUGAAGAAGACGAGUAUAAGAAUGAGAGAAGAAAAGGAAGGAGGAGAAGAAGAGUUUAUAGAAUUAGUAGCUGAUCUUCUCUUCCUUCUUGUUGUGGAGCAACCCAGUCAGGGUCGGCAAUCAUCAAAGACUAAGGCACUCCGAGGAGGCUGCUCCGUUCAGAUCUUUUUGAAUCCCUUACCGAGAGCUGCCUGUCGAAAAUUGCUCCGACGAUCGUUAGCCGAAUACCUGCACGAAGGGAUUCCAGUCGAUGAAUGCAAGAAUCGCCAGGGACACUGCAACAGCCUGCGGUCGUGCCUCCAAACGAGCAGCACAUUUUGUUGGAGCCCGACGAUCGCUAUUCAUCUUUUCUUCACGAUGAUCGAUGCUCAUUGGACGAGCUUCUUUUUCGACUAAAAUCUGCCGAGAUUAUCGGGACAUUUCUCCAAGCAAGUUUUUACAGGCAGAUUUUUCAAGCUGCCUGUAGUCGAUUGACCUCCGAGCACGUAUCGUAGAUUUUAAGUCGAACGAGGUCUUAAAAAUUCGAAAAGAUAGAGCGCGCGCAAAGAUUGGAAACAACCCACGCAGAUUUGCGUCGACAAGGCGUGGCGAACGGCGUCCUUCGUGUUACAGAAGAGAUUUUUCCUCCCGAGCAUCUGCGUCAUAUGAUUGGACGGCUUUCGCCACUUGAAAAAUUAAAGGCGGUGGGGAGAUAUGUCGGGGGCUGGAUAGAGUCGACAUGGAAAUGGGUCUCGUGUGACGAUACCGGAUGCACGGAGCCUGGUGUUCCGUAAGCCUCAUGCGAAUUCGACACUGUCCGAGUCGUUUUUCCCUUCGAGUAACUAUUCGUUCCUCGACACAUGGAACGAUCGAACUUUGGGGACUCGCUCGCAAUUAGUCAGUGUCCGGUUUGAGAGAACGUGAAGAUUUUCGUGUUGCUCGAGCAAGAGCAGGAUCCUCCAUCUGGUUUCAAACGGAACCGAUGCUCGGGAUCAUCCUUGGAUUCGGCCGAUUGAAGAAUGGCUGGCAAAGCAGGGACUUUUCGCUCGGGAAAUCGACAAGUUUUUCUCAUCCCGACGAUUGAUUCGUCUCUCAAGGAAUCUUGGGCAUCAGCAUCGAACCCCCCUUCGAUUGAAUAACGUCAUUGAUUGCGAUCAUUGUCUGAAGAAAUCGAUUUUACAGUCGAGCAGCGACCGAUACGAAGCUCGAUCUCGACAUUUCGAAAGCAUCGGUUCAACAGGGAAGCGAUGCCUCGUUAAAUAAAAUCUCGUCCGGGGGACGAUGGGUUGAGCUCAACACGCGCGAACAUACAGCGCGGAACGAAACUCAACAAAAUGUUAGCGAGUGAUUUACAAGCUGCGAAGAAUUGAUGAAGGAAUAAUAAUUAUUGAGAUCCCGUACGGCGUAUGACCCUUGAAGGAAUGCGAGCGUGCACGCACGCAUUUGAGCGACAGCGAGGGAUAGCUAUUCCGCAGUGCAGAUCUCGUGUGUGCUAUGGAGCGGUCGCCCGUUCAUCGACAGGUUAAACAAUAAGCGUGUAAUUAAGAUAUGGAUCGUGCAUAGCGGUGCACAGCCGCAGGAGAAUUGUGCAAGGGCCGAAGAGUUUUCACGCAGCGUCGUCUUAACCUCGCGCGAAUUCAUCUUUCCUCCGCGCAUCGUUUUACCGCACCUUCGUACACUCGAGAAAAAAGUAUUAGAGGAAAGAGAGGCGAGAAAAAAUGGUUUACCGAGGGCUUACACACGAGGAGUGUGUGGUAUUUCGCCGUUGAAGCUUUCUCGGCUCAUAUGUACGGGCGCGUCUAUUUUCACACCGCGAUACCGAUCUUCUCACACACGCGGCAACGAGACCGAAAGAGAAGAAGGACGAUAAAAGAGAGCAAGAGAGAGAGGGAGAGAGAAAGCGGCGCCCGAGUAAUCCAACACGGAACGGAGGGCAGCGGAGUGCGAAAGAGAAGAAAAAAUAAAGAACAACGAGCCAUGGGAGGCUCGUACUCCCCGACUCGGCAGAGGGACAUAAUGAAGAGUCGAGUGUCUAUAAAAUCAUCCAUGAAGGUAAUUUCGAGUUUCUUUUCAUCGUGGCAUUCGACUUGAUGGGGCUUCCCGGACUGAAUCGACGUUGGAAAUACCUCAAGCAAGACGUCGAGGCCGAUCAUUUAGAUGAGAAUCGACGAGCGGUGCGCGUUCGGAAUAAUUGGAAAUCGUCGUUGACACAAUUGUGUCACUUGACUAAACGAUCGGAACGCAAAUUUUAUGAGUUUUGCAAGAGCCUCGGCGCCUCAGUCGAGAAUCUCGUGAUUUUCUCGCCAUCCUGCUUGUCGACCGAUUUUCUCCCAGGGUCGAAUCAUCUCUAAUGUCAAACGGUUCGUCAAAGUGGAGAAAUCAUUAAUUCAGCAAAAAAGGCGUUGCCAGAGCGCGUGGAAGUUUGGAUCGAAAAAAAUGGGCAGCUGGGAAGUCGUUUUGAAACUGAAUUUCUUGGAAGAAUAACUUUUCCAGCACUGCUCAUUCCCGACAUUAAGAUACGAAAGAGGAAUUACUUUCUAGAAUCACUAUAAAAUAAUGAAACGAUCUUUGAAUUCAGUAU